rnacentral:rRNA from 1 species
UGGGGAAUAUUGGGCAAUGGGCGAAACCCUGAUGCAGCGACGCCGCGUGAUUUAGAAGGCCUUCGGGUUGUAAAAAUCUUUUCUAUGGGAAGAAAAUGACAGUACCAUAGGAAUAAGGACCGGCUAAUUACGUGCCAGCAGCCGCGGUAAUACGUAAGGUCCGAGCGUUGUCCGGAAUCAUUGGGCGUAAAGGGUACGUAGGCGGGUAAGCAAGUUAGAAGUGAAAUCCUGUAGCUCAACUACAGUAAGCUUUUAAAACUGCUCAUCUUGAGAUAUGGAAGGGAAAGUGGAAUUCCUAGUGUAGCGGUGAAAUGCGCAGAUAUUAGGAGGAAUACCGGUGGCGAAGGCGACUUUCUGGCCAUAAUCUGACGCUGAGGUACGAAAGCGUGGGUAGCAAACAGG